GGGUUCGAUCAUUCCAGCACUAAUGCACCGGAUCCCAUCAGAACUCCGAAGUAAAACUUGCUUGGGCGAGAGUAGUACUAAAAUGGGUGACCUCUUGGGAAGUCCUCGUGUUGCACCCC
rnacentral:rRNA from 1 species